GCCCAUGUAACUCAGUGGUAGAGUGUCACCCGUGCACAGAGGAUCUUGGGUUUGAUUCCCAGUCAAGGGCA
rfam:Myotis brandtii contig303571, whole genome shotgun sequence.